UACGUAGGGUGCGAGCGUUGUCCGGAAUUAUUGGGCGUAAAGAGCUCGUAGGCGGUUUGUUGCGUCGGCCGUGAAAACCUGCAGCUUAACUGUGGGCCUGCGGCCGAUACGGGCAGACUUGAGUUCAGUAGGGGAGACUGGAAUUCCUGGUGUAGCGGUGAAAUGCGCAGAUAUCAGGAGGAACACCGAUGGCGAAGGCAGGUCUCUGGGCUGACACUGACGCUCAUGCACGAAAGCGUGGGGAGCAAACAGG
rnacentral:rRNA from 1 species